CCCUAGGCGGCCCUGCUGUCAAUCAGCCCCCGUUAUACUCCCUCCUCCCCUGGCGCCGAGGCCCCACGCGUCACGUCGUGGAGACGUCAGCUUGGAUCUCCUCCGGGAGAGCCGGGGAGGGGGAGGCGGAGGCGGAGGCGAGAGGAAGGAGGAGGGAAGGGGGGGGGUUGGAGCCUCUUGCGCAGGCGCGGGAGAGUGCCUUUGGGCUAGGGAAGAGGGUAGCGGGAGGGGGAGCUGGUGUUCCCGGUUUCCUGGGUUACUGGAGGGGGGCGGAGGGGUUGGGAGUCCGGCGGAGGCUGCAGCGGCUGAAGCGGCAGCUACGACUCCGGCGACGACGACGACGACGACGACGACAACGACGCGGGAUUCUCCCCGCCUGGGGGAGGGGGAGCGCGCGGCAGCGGCGGCGGCAGCGGCAGGCGCAGAUGAAGACUUAGUACAACAAUACUUCUUUAUUCCAUUACUAAGGCGCUCAAUUGAAAAAAGCUAAAUGUUGCAGAAGUGUUGAAAAUACCGGUAAGCAUCUCCCAUAAUAAUACUAUUUUAUAGUAGUGAAUAGAAUGUUAAUGGACUUACUGGGAUUUUGAUGGGAGGAAUGGGACAAUACAGUGAGUAUUAGUAAGUUUCACCUGUAGAUAUCUUCAUCUUUAGCUUUCGUAAUACUUAAAACUACAGGAAAGAGAGACCUGAAGCAUUCAAAGGAUUAAUCACUCAGUAUAAGAAAUACAGCACCUCCCCACCCCCAGUUUAUUAUUUGCUUGUUUGUUUUGAGUAAAGCACUUAAGAGCCUUAAGGGACUGAGACUAGAUAAGCUAAAGAUGUAAGAAGGAUAAUGUUGGUAGGGGGAGUGUAAUUAGUAGUUAUUGGAAAUUUAUCUCUCAAGGGUUAAAUUGGAACUCUUUUAUCUUAUUUUUCCCCUGUUAAAGUUCUUCCCUCACUUGGGAAGCUGUUUAAACAGAGUACUGGUUAGUGAUGGUUUGUUUUUGAGAAAUGUACGUGUUCAUUCUUCUUGGAGUAUUGUGAACUCCAAGAUUCAGCUAUGAAGUCCUGUCUGUCAUAUAGUGACACAACCUUAGUUGUGUCAAAGAUGUGAUAUUUAUUGGGAAGAUUCAUUUGUGAAGAGAUUUCCUUUUAAAAUGAUUCCUUUUGAGACAGCUAGGUGGCACAGUGGAUAGAGCUCUGGCCUUAAAGUCAGGAGGACCUGAGUUCAAAUGUGGCCUCAGACACAUAAUACUUCCUAACUGUGUGACUCUGGGCAAGUCACUUAACCCCAAAUGCCUUACUUAAAAAAAAGAAAAGAAAAGAAAGAAAGAUUACUUUAAAAGAAAAGAACAGGGGCAACUAAGUGGCACAGUGGAUAGAGCGCCGGCCCUGGAGUCAGGAGGACCCAAGUUCAAAUCCAGUCUCAGACCAAACACUUGACACUUACUAGCUGUAUGACCCUGGGCAAGUCACUUGACCUCAAUUGCCUGAGAAAGAAAAAAAAAGAU
rnacentral:lncRNA from 1 species